UCCCUGGUGGUCCAGUGGGUAAGACUCUGCGCUUGCAAUGCAGGGGGCUGGGUUCGAUCCCUGGCCAGGGAA